rnacentral:rRNA from 1 species
GAUGAACGCUGGCGGCGUGCUUAACACAUGCAAGUCGAACGAGAAAUGGAGACGGAAACCUUCGGGCGGAAGGCUUCAUUUCGAGCGGCGGACGGGUGAGUAACGCGUGGGUAACCUGCCUCAUACAGGGGGAUAACAGUUGGAAACGACUGUUCAUACCGCAUAAGACCACAGCACCGCAUGGUGCGGGGGUAAAAACUCCGGUGGUAUGAGAUGGACCCGCGUUCGAUUAGCCAGUUGGCGGGGUAACGGCCCACCAAAGCGACGAUCGAUAGCCGAUCUGAGAGGAUGACCGGCCACAUUGGGACUGAGACACGGCCCAAACUCCUACGGGAGGCAGCAGUGGGGAAUAUUGCACAAUGGGGGAAACCCUGAUGCAGCGACGCCGCGUGAGUGAAGAAGUACUUCGGUAUGUAAAGCUCUAUCAGCAGGGAAGAAAAUGACGGUACCUGAGUAAGAAGCCCCGGCUAACUACGUG